rnacentral:rRNA from 1 species
AGAGUUUGAUCCUGGCUCAGAGUGAACGCUGGCGGCAGGCCUAACACAUGCAAGUCGAGCGGCAGCGCGGGGCAACCUGGCGGCGAGCGGCGGACGGGUGAGGAAUGCAUCGGAAUCUACCCUGUCGUGGGGGAUAACGUAGGGAAACUUACGCUAAUACCGCAUACGACCGAGAGGUGAAAGUGGGGGACCGCAAGGCCUCACGCGAUUGGAUGAGCCGAUGCCGGAUUAGCUAGUUGGUGGGGUAAAGGCCCACCAAGGCGACGAUCCGUAGCUGGUCUGAGAGGAUGAUCAGCCACAUUGGGACUGAGACACGGCCCAAACUCCUACGGGAGGCAGCAGUGGGGAAUAUUGGACAAUGGGCGCAAGCCUGAUCCAGCCAUGCCGCGUGUGUGAAGAAGGCCUUCGGGUUGUAAAGCACUUUUGUUCGGGAAGAAAUCGUGCGGAUUAAUACUUCGUACGGAUGACGGUACCGAAAGAAUAAGCACCGGCUAACUUCGUGCCAGCAGCCGCGGUAAUACGAAGGGUGCAAGCGUUACUCGGAAUCACUGGGCGUAAAGCGUGCGUAGGCGGUUCGUUAAGUCUGCUGUGAAAGCCCUGGGCUCAACCUGGGAACUGCAGUGGAUACUGGCGGACUAGAGUGUGAUAGAGGAUGGUGGAAUUCCCGGUGUAGCGGUGAAAUGCGUAGAGAUCGGGAGGAACACCAGUGGCGAAGGCGGCCAUCUGGAUCAACACUGACGCUGAGGCACGAAAGCGUGGGGAGCAAACAGGAUUAGAUACCCUGGUAGUCCACGCCCUAAACGAUGCGAACUGGACGUUGGUUGCAACUUGGCAAUCAGUGUCGAAGCUAGCGCGUUAAGUUCGCCGCCUGGGGAGUACGGUCGCAAGACUGAGACUCAAAGGAAUUGACGGGGGCCCGCACAAGCGGUGGAGUAUGUGGUUUAAUUCGAUGCAACGCGAAGAACCUUACCUGGCCUUGACAUCCAGUGAACUUUCCAGAGAUGGAUUGGUGCCUUCGGGAACACUGAGACAGGUGCUGCAUGGCUGUCGUCAGCUCGUGUCGUGAGAUGUUGGGUUAAGUCCCGCAACGAGCGCAACCCUUGUCCUUAGUUGCCAGCACGUAAUGGUGGGAACUCUAAGGAGACUGCCGGUGACAAACCGGAGGAAGGUGGGGAUGACGUCAAGUCAUCAUGGCCCUUACGGCCAGGGCUACACACGUACUACAAUGGUCGGUACAGAGGGUUGCAAUGCCGCGAGGUGGAGCCAAUCCCAGAAAACCGAUCCCAGUCCGGAUCGGAGUCUGCAACUCGACUCCGUGAAGUCGGAAUCGCUAGUAAUCGCGGAUCAGCUAUGCCGCGGUGAAUACGUUCCCGGGCCUUGUACACACCGCCCGUCACACCAUGGGAGUUGGUUGCUCCAGAAGUAGGUAGUCUAACCGCAAGGAGGACGCUUACCACGGAGUAGUCAAUGACUGGGGUGAAGUCGUAACAAGGUA